rnacentral:rRNA from 1 species
AAGUCUCAGUUCGGAUUGAAGGCUGAAAUUCGCCUUCAUGAAGCCGGAAUUGCUAGUAAUGGCAGGUCAGCAUACUGCCGUGAAUACGUUCCCGGGCCUUGUACACACCGCCCGUCACACCAUGAGAGUUGGGAAUACCCGAAGCCUGUGAGCUAACUUUUAGAGGCAGCAGUCGAAGGUAGAAUCAAUGAUUGGGGUGAAGUCGUAACAAGGUACC